rnacentral:rRNA from 1 species
GACGAACGCUGGCGGCGUGCUUAACACAUGCAAGUCGAACGGAAAGGCCCUGCUUUUGUGGGGUGCCCGAGUGGCGAACGGGUGAGUAACACGUGAGUAACCUGCCCUUGACUUUGGGAUAACUUCAGGAAACCGGGGCUAAUACCGGAUAGGAGCUCCUGCUGCAUGGUGGGGGUUGGAAAGUUUCGGCGGAGGGGGAUGGACUCGCGGCUUAUCAGCUUGUUGGUGGGGUAGUGGCCUACCAAGGCUUUGACGGGUAGCCGGCCUGAGAGGGUGGACGGCCACAUUGGGACUGAGGUACGGCCCAGACUCCUACGGGAGGCAGCAGGGGAGAAUAUUGCACAAUGAGCGGAAGCCUGAUGCAACAGCGCCGCGUGCGGGAUGACGGCCUUCGGGUUGUGAACCGCUUUCGGCUGUGACGAAGCGUGAGUGACGGUAAUGGGUGAAGAAGCACCGGCUAACUACGUG